rnacentral:rRNA from 1 species
GAUGAACGCUGGCGGCGUGCCUAAUACAUGCAAGUCGAGCGAACAGACGAGGAGCUUGCUCCUCUGACGUUAGCGGCGGACGGGUGAGUAACACGUGGAUAACCUACCUAUAAGACUGGGAUAACUUCGGGAAACCGGAGCUAAUACCGGAUAAUAUAUUGAACCGCAUGGUUCAAUAGUGAACGACGGUUUUGCUGUCACUUAUAGAUGGAUCCGAGCCGCAUUAGCUAGUUGGUAAGGUAACGGCUUACCAAGGCAACGAUGCGUAGCCGACCUGAGAGGGUGAUCGGCCACACUGGAACUGAGACACGGUCCAGACUCCUACGGGAGGCAGCAGUAGGGAAUCUUCCGCAAUGGGCGAAAGCCUGACGGAGCAACGCCGCGUGAGUGAUGAAGGUCUUCGGAUCGUAAAACUCUGUUAUUAGGGAAGAACAAAUGUGUAAGUAACUAUGCACGUCUUGACGGUACCUAAUCAGAAAGCCACGGCUAACUACGUG